ensembl:snRNA U2 U2 spliceosomal RNA
AUUGCUUCUCAGCCUUUUGGCUAAGAUCAAGUGUAGUAUCUGUUUUUAUCAGUUUAAAGACUGUGUGUGUGUGUGUGUGUGUGUGUGUAUGUGUGUUUAAGACAGGGUCUCACUCUGUCACCCAGGCUGGAGUGCGGUGACAAAAUCUCAGCUUACUUCAGCCUUGACUUCCU